ensembl:lncRNA
GUGGGGGCGGGGCGGGGGCUGUGGGGGGGCUAUGGGGUCGCUAUGGGGUCUGUGGGGUGGGUAUGGGGUCUGUGGGUAUGGGGUAUGUGGAGUGGCUAUGGGGUCGCUACGGGGUCUGUGGGUAUGGGGUCUGUGGGGUGGCUAUGGGGCAGAUAUGGGGUCUGUGGGGUGGCUAUGGGGCAGAUAUGGGGUCUGCGGGGUGGCUAUGGGGUCUGUGGGAUGGCUGUGUGGUCUGUGGGGUGGCUGUGGGGUCUAUGGGGUCUGUGGGUAUGGGGUAUGUGGAGUGGCUAUGGGGCAGAUAUGGGGUCUGUGGGGUCGCUAUGGGGUCUGUGGCUAUGGGGUCUGUGGGUAUGGGGUCUGUGGGGUGGCUAUGGGGUCGCUAUGGGGUCUGUGGAUAUGGGGUCUGUGGGUAUGGGGUCUGUGGGGUGGCUAUGGGGCAGAUAUGGGGUCUGUGGGGUGGAUAUGGGGCAGAUAUGGGGUCUGCGGGGUGGGUAUGGG